rnacentral:rRNA from 1 species
CCUACGGGAGGCAGCAGUAGGGAAUCUUUCACAAUGGGCGAAAGCCUGAUGGAGCAACGCCGCGUGCAGGAUGAAGGCCUUCGGGUUGUAAACUGCUUUUAUAAGCGAGAAAUAUGAUGGUAACUUAUGAAUAAGGAUCGGCUAACUACGUGCCAGCAACCGCGGUCAUACGUAGGAUCCGAGCAUUAUCCGGAGUGACUGGGUGUAAAGAGUUGCGUAGGUGGGAUAAUAAGUAGCUAGUGAAAUCUGGUGGCUCAACCAUUCAGACUAUUAGCUAAACUGUUAAGCUCGAGACCGUUAGGGGUAACUGGAAUUUCUAGUGUAGGAGUGAAAUCCGUAGAUAGUAGAAGGAACACCAAUAGCGUAGGCAGGUUGCUGGGACGGUUCUGACACUAAGGCACGAAAGCGUAGGGAGCAAACGGGAUUAGAUACCCUUGUAGUC